AGGCUCUUCCGAGCUGGGGAGGAGGCACAAUCUGAGGUUUCUGCAAUUUUCCCGGAAAAGGGGUCAUGUCGGGGACAUAGUCACUCAAGGUGGAGAACACAGAACAAGCUGGAGUCGGCCGGCGUAGGCCCACCCUUUCAUUCCCCCCUUGACAUGUAGCUUAGGGACCCAAUCAUGGGACCGGCUGCAUUUAUGGUGACAAGGGGAACAGAGUUUGGAGGUUUACGCUAAGUUCUGGGAACCAAGUGUCCCUGGGGUGGCUCUGGGACAUCUG